AUACGACCACAGGAUCUUGAGAACAAGGCUUCCCGUUCGCUCAGCCCUAUUUAAGCAAGAUACCGGCGGAUUAGUAGUUAGGUGGGUGA
rnacentral:rRNA from 1 species